rnacentral:ribozyme from 1 species
CCUUUCCAAGGGUCGCCACCUUGACGUGGUGGAAAGGCUUGUGUGUUCCAGUGAUCCCAAGAGCAUUUUACUCUAGUUGGCUAUGCGUUUGGGGGAGGUUCCUGACUAAGAGCGAC